CACCCUAUAUGGCCUCAUGGAAGCAACAAGCACACGACAUUGAUAAGCUGUAAAAGAAUUUAGAAACAAACCUGAAAACUAACCCUGAAGCUUGAAUCUAAGCAAUUGAUUAUAUAUAUAAUUGCAAAUGAAAAUCUCUGCUUUCCCUAACAGCUCACUACCUCUACCUUGAUAGAUUCCUCAAUCUGUGGUAUCUCAUCAGCCAACUGCAUCUGUGAAAAUAUCUGCUUUCCCAAACAACUCACUAAUUCUGCCUCUUUUUUUUUUUUCCUUUUCUAAUUGCAAUUGUAUUCUGUGAAGAAGAUUUGGAUAAGGCUACACUAUUGAAGUUGAGAUCCAUGAUGGCCCAUACAAUGUCAUCAAGAACUGGAACUAAUUGCAUUGAUUGAAGCCAUCCACAAUGGUGAAGGCAAAUGUUGGACAGCCAAGGUUAUGUGAAGGUGGGGAGCACUUAGAAUACUUUUCAGAUGCAUUGAGGUCGGAAAGCCUCGAGCGUGUGCAACCCAGCUCUCUUACAAUCCAACACAGGCCUGGAUAGAAGAUGCUUAUUCAAAGUGGAAGUAACUAUAUAUAGUGUAGGCUCAGGGGUCCACACUGCUUACAUGGAUGCAUGAUCAAAGCUGCUCAUCAGUUUUAUCCUAGAAGAAAAAGGGAAUAAAAAUCUGUCCACAUAUUUAUAUAUAAAAAAAUCCAUAGGUAUUCUCCUUCAUCUGCUAGUUACAGGUAUUUAUUAGUUCCUUUUAUUUUAUAUCAAAUUUGUUUUUUGGUUAUUUUAUUUUGUUUUGUAAACUUUUGUCUUUGCAUUGGUAACUGAAGGUGGAGCAUUUGGGGUGGAGCAUUGGUAA